AUUGAACGCUGGCGGCAGGCCUAACACAUGCAAGUCGAGCGAGCGGCGGACGGGUGAGUAAUGUCUGGGAAACUGCCUGAUGGAGGGGGGUAACUACGGGAAACGGUAGCUAAUACCGCAUACAAUCAGAGUGGCCCAGGUGGGAUUAUCUAGUAGGUGGGGGAACGGCUCACCUGGGCGACGAUCCCUAGCUGGUCUGAGAGGAUGACCAGCCACACUGGAACUGAGACCCGGUCCAGACUCCUACGUGUGGCAGCAGUGGGGAAUAUUGCACAAUGGGCGCAAGCCUGAUGCAGCCAUGCCGCGUGUGGGAAGAAGGCCUUCGGGUUGUAAAGCACUUUCAGCGGGGAGGCGUUACCCGCAGAAGAAGCACCGGCUAACUCCGUGCCAGCAGCCGCGGUAAUUC
rnacentral:rRNA from 1 species